rfam:Bacillus gobiensis strain FJAT-4402 chromosome.
UUAACCUUUUAAAAAAAGUCCAGUGAGGCUUUAAAGGGUGAAGGAGGCACGUGUAUGCUCUCCUAAAAAGCACCCUAGAGCAAUUUUAGCCCGGGGUGCUUUUUGUA